AGCUCCUGGCUGAAAUAGGCAGUGUCUGAAUUUUAUGUGGGGUGGGGUGGGCCCAGCCUGGGUAUUAGGAGUGCCUUGAAGGCCUUGUGCUCAAUUUUGAUCUCCACAGGGUCCAUUCCUUUAGCUAUUUGCAAACAGUCCUUCAUCCUUCUUCACUUUUACAGGAGUGAUGACAUUUCAGGAAUCACUCAACUACCAUGUAAAAUAGGAGGGGGACUGGACUGAUUUCAUGAUAAGCCUCUUUUGGGAUCUCAAAUUCUCUGAAUCUAUUCUGAAUCCAAUCCCCUCUCUAACUCAUUUGGCAUUUACUGAGCACCUACUAUGUGGCCAGCACUGCUCUAUACUUGAUUCUGCCUUCAUGGAGCUCAAAGUGAAGGAAGAGAGCAAAUAUAUAUCAGAAAUAUUUCAUUUUAUCUUGAGUGCCCUCCCUCCAAUCACUCUGCCUGGCAACAGAAUUUUAGUUUUCACCGACGGAAAUCAUCAGGGUUUUUUUUGUUUAUACACUGAUCUUGCUCCUUCCUCAGCCAGGAGCUGGUUUCAUUGGUUGCUGCAGCCCUAUGGUCUAGCCAUAGUGCCAGGCAUACAUAGGUAUUUGGAAAACAGGCAUGAAAUGAGCCAGGAAAUAAAUGAUGGAGCCAAGAUAGCUCACACGGCAUGCAGGACCUCGUGGAAUCCUCGGGGUGUCAUUAUCCACUUAGCAGAUGAGGAAAUUGAGGCUGACGAAGGCAAAGCGGCUUGCGGGGUCCCAACGUAGCUACGUGGUAUAUGGCUGUGGGAUACACCAGUAGAAGCAAAGGCAGCCCCUAAAAGCAUUCCCAGUUUUCCCUAGCCGCAACCCACAAGAGCAAGACACAGCAGGGAUGCACUGAUGGG
rnacentral:lncRNA from 1 species